rnacentral:rRNA from 1 species
AUGUUGCGCGAGAGAUGGCAGGGAUGCGUUUUUAUCCUCGUCCUUCUUCUUCUCUCCAACGCGGCGUCAGGCACUUCUCUGGGGGACAACACGAUGCUCCCCACGGAGACGGAGGAUUCUCCGUCAGACUUGGCGAAGAUCGUGCAGUCGUCUAAGCAGACCAAGCAGGCGCGCGUGUGCGGCGGAGCAGACCACCGGCUGCUGCGGUCACUCGCCAACACCGGAGCGGAGGUCAUGGUCACCGUCCCCAACUCGCGGCUGCAGCACAUGGCCGAGUUCCGGGAGGAGGCCCGGCUCUGGGUCGCCGCCAACGUGGCGCCGUUCCUCCCGGCGACCAUGAUCACACACGUCCUGGCGGGAGACGACGCCCUGUCGUCCAGCUCCGGCUCCCCCGGCGACGCCCACUCGCUGGUCCCCGCCAUGCUCAACCUCCACGCCGCGCUCGCCGCCGCCCGCCUCGACGGCCGCGUCAGGGUGUCCACCGCGCUGUCGUCGGUGCCUCUCGCCCCGUCCUGGUCCGCCGCCGUCGCGGGGCUCGUCCUGCGGUUCCUGAGCGAGACCGGCUCGCCGCUCUUCCUCAAGCAGGCUCGCGCGCGGGAGGCCACCGACGACGACGCCAGAGUCGGCGACGCGUACGCCGCGAUGCGGGCGCUCGGCUUCUCGGGCGUCCCGCUGAUCGCGGCCGAGUUGGAGCUCGACGGCGCGCUGGUGUACCACAGCUACUUGCAUCAUGCUGCCGGUGGAGGCGGCGGGAGGCGGUCGCUGGCGUCGGGGACGUUCUGCGUGGCGCUGCAGAACGCGGACCCGACGGCGCUGCAGGCGGGGCUGAGCUGGGCGUGCGGGCAGGGCCAGGCCGACUGCUCGGCGAUACAGCCCGGCGGGGCCUGCUACAAGCAGAACAACCUGGCGGCGCUGGCCUCCUACGCCUACAACGACUACUACCAGAAGGGCUCCAGCACCGGCGCCACCUGCUCCUUCAAUGGCACCGCCACGACCACCACCACCGAUCCCAGCUCAGGAUCGUGCGUCUUCGCAGGAAGCACCAUGGCGGGGGGCUCCAACUCGACCGUGCCGAGUGCCAGCCCGCCGACGAGCCUCGCCCCUCCGUCGGGUGGCCUCACGCCUCCGGUCGGCUCGAGCCCUCCGUCCGACUUCGGGCCCCCUCCGACCGGCUUCGGCCCUCCCGCGAGUGGCUUCGGUCCCCCGUCUGGGUUCGGCCCACCGUCUGGCUUCGGUCCCCCGUCGGCGUUCGGCCCGCCCGGGAGCUUCAACGGGAGCGGGACCUUCGGGCCCAGCGGCACCCUCGAGCCUUACGGCAUGGGGUGCCGCCACGUCGCCUCUUUGGCUGCCUCCACUCUUGUGUCCGCCAUUGUUCUUGCCGUUCUCGUCGCGUCGCCCGAUCUGAUGUAA